CCGCCCAACUCUGGCGAGAAAUUGCUGGAGCUGCGCUGCCCCGUUCGCCGAGCCGCCACCGCCCUAGUGAUCCUUGCGACGCCAUGAAGCUCCCUCAACUCUUCAUUUUGUUCCCCGAGUCCCUAUUCGUCAAAUCGUUCAUCUCAAGUGAGAUUUGGGUAUGAACUUGUUCAAGUUCUCUGAAAUUUAGGCUUUUCGGUUAGCUCUGUUCAAGCGUCGAUUGUUAGCAGAACAUUGAUCAUUUUGUGCUCGAGUUUUCACCAUUUUGUAGAGAGAAUGCUUCUCUAUAAUUUAUCUGUAGACAGUAGCCGUAGACAUUUCAUCUCGGGCAUUGCAUCGUCGUCGCAAAAUGGUAUUCUAAUCAGUUUCUCUGCCGUAUCUCUGCCGCGGCAGAAAGUUGCAGCACCUUCCUCAGUGGGUAGCCUUAUUCGCAGUAGUUCUCGUUGUGGUCCGUAGCAUCAUUUUCGUUGUUUCUUUUUUUAGAUUGAACUUUAGGAACACCCCUUCACAUGCAUUUCCUAGUUGGACCAUUUCAACUCCACCUUCAGUAGCAGCACGACGGUAGAAGUUCAUAUCCUAUUCUGUUCUGUUUUAGAGUAGCCACUGUUACCUGUUCAUAGCUACUGCCUCAUAGCUCCAUAGUUAGUGAAACCAGUCCCAUUUGAAAGAGUAGAUCAUAUUCUUAGAUUUCUUUGUUUACUUCUCUGUCAUUGGAAUAGUUUAGCACCAGUAGCUUUUCAGUAGAAGUUAGUAUUCUUUGUCUGUCAGAAUCUGACUAGCCACCUUUGCAAGCCAGUAACUUUUGACCUGUUUAUCCAAUUGACCUGAAACCUGUUGCGUUAGUUAGUACAACUCCAGAACUAUACUCUAGCAUAGGUUUUAUGCCAUGUUCUGUACUUUAGCACCUAUUACCUGUCAAUCCUAGUUGCUA
rnacentral:lncRNA from 1 species